rnacentral:rRNA from 1 species
AGUGAACGCUGGCGGUAGGCCUAACACAUGCAAGUCGAACGGCAGCACAGUAAGAGUUUGCUCUUACGGGUGGCGAGUGGCGGACGGGUGAGGAAUACAUCUGAAUCUACUUUUUCGUGGGGGAUAACGUAGGGAAACUUACGCUAAUACCGCAUACGACCUACGGGUGAAAGCAGGGGAUCUUCGGACCUUGCGCAAUUGAAUGAGCCGAUGUCGGAUUAGCUAGUUGGCGGGGUAAAGGCCCACCAAGGCGACGAUCCGUAGCUGGUCUGAGAGGAUGAUCAGCCACACUGGAACUGAGACACGGUCCAGACUCCUACGGGAGGCAGCAGUGGGGAAUAUUGGACAAUGGGCGCAAGCCUGAUCCAGCCAUACCGCGUGGGUGAAGAAGGCCUUCGGGUUGUAAAGCCCUUUUGUUGGGAAAGAAAAGCAGCAGGUUAAUACCCCGCUGUUCUGACGGUACCCAAAGAAUAAGCACCGGCUAACUUCGUG